UACAGAGGUCCCGAGCGUUGUUCGGAUUCACUGGGCGUAAAGGGUGCGUAGGUGGCCAGGUAAGUUUGGUGUGAAAGCUCGGAGCUUAACUCCGAAAAGUCAUUGAAUACUAUCUGGCUGGAGGGUCGGAGGGGAGACUGGAAUUCUCGGUGUAGCAGUGAAAUGCGUAGAUAUCGAGAGGAACACCAGUGGCAAAGGCGAGUCUCUGGACGACUCCUGACACUGAGGCACGAAAGCCGGGGGAGCAAACAGG
rnacentral:rRNA from 1 species